rnacentral:rRNA from 1 species
CCUACGGGCGGCAGCAGUGAGGAAUAUUGGUCAAUGGACGAGAGUCUGAACCAGCCAAGUAGCGUGAAGGAUGACUGCCCUAUGGGUUGUAAACUUCUUUUAUAUGGGAAUAAAACGUUCCACGUGUGGGAUUUUGUAUGUACCAUAUGAAUAAGGAUCGGCUAACUCCGUGCCAGCAGCCGCGGUAAUACGGAGGAUCCGAGCGUUAUCCGGAUUUAUUGGGUUUAAAGGGAGCGUAGGUGGAUUGGUAAGUCAGUUGUGAAAGUUUGCGGCUCAACCGUAAAAUUGCAGUUGAAACUGGCAGUCUUGAGUACAGUAGAGGUGGGCGGAAUUCGUGGUGUAGCGGUGAAAUGCUUAGAUAUCACGAAGAACUCCGAUUGCGAAGGCAGUUCACUGGACUGCAACUGACACUGAGGCUCGAAAGUGUGGGUAUCAAACAGGAUUAGAUACCCGAGUAGUC